rnacentral:lncRNA from 1 species
AGCAGAUUGGAUUCUGUGCUGAAAACAAUGAGGCGCCGCUGAAGGGCUUUGAGAAAGGGGGUAACAUGAUCAUGUUUCCACAUCAAAAGAGAGCAGUAACGCGGUAGGGAGGCCAUUGGCCUGCUCCCACUCCGCAUUUUCUGCGUGGUCACAUGAAUCAGGUGCUGUGUUAGGCUCUUUGAACACUUGUUGAUGGCACACGUGAGCUCCCUGCCCGAGCCAGGGCCUGGCAUCCGGGACCACAGGGAGGCAGGGGAUUCCCCACAUGGCCCUCGGCCACCCAGACUGGUCACAAGAGCGUCUGCUGUCCCUGCAGGAACCCUGGGAGGGGCAGGGUCUCAAAAGAUGCUCCUGGACCAGCCUGCUGCCAGCCCCUGCCCUGGCAGCUGCUCGGACUCUGACAUUGCUCCCCCUCAGCCCCUCAGCCCGGCACCCUGGGCCUUUUGUGCAGUGACAACCCCCUUCGCCACCCUGCUGUGUCCACCAACAUCUCAGGCCCUGCACACAGUGUCAGGCACCAGGACUGAGUUGUUAGAUGCACUUACCUAUGUCACCUCCCUUCCUCCCACCUGUGCCCCAGAGCCAGGUCCACAUACCCAGCCCAGACCACGGCAAGGGCCCAAAGGGCCCGUGUUGACACGCUCAUAUUUAGCGUAAAUACAACUUUGCACUGUACAGAGGAUGCAUCGUCUUUUCAGAGGCCCCUGGAAUAUAUAUAAAGGUUUGUCACAGAUCACACACACACAUCUCAGUUUCCAAGGAAGGAAUGUGAAACCCACGUAUUUAGACAACAAUGACAAGACUUGGAACAGCUGGAGCCUUUUGGUACAAGUGUAAGAAACCCAUCGGCACCAACCUCAGGUAAGGACCUUGUAAAUCCGGUAAGAUGGGGACACUCAGCUGGAAUGCAGGAGCCCAGGGCCCUGAGUGCCACUUCUCUCUGUCAGGCUCAUCUCUGCCUCCUCUGCAGGCUGUUUCAUGCUUCUCUGUCCCACUGAGGACCCACUUUCUCUGCUCUUUCUGGCAGAAAUGCAGGCAAGGGGCUCACUGUGGGCCCUGCUCCCCAGGGAGGAACUGGUCCCUUUGUUCUCAGGCCCAGUCCCAGGGAAACUGGGGGGCCCAGCAGUUCCCUCUCUAGAAAUCUGUCCUGCAGAGACUCCAGGCAGGGAGACAAGCAUGUGUGUGGAAAUGGUUCACUGCAGCAGGAUGUGAACUCUCCAUGGCUGGAAGCAGCCUAAAUACCCAUCAGCAGGGAAAUGGAUAGACAAAGCGACCCACUCAUGCCACCAAAUAUGAUGCACCCACUGAAUUAAGAAAGCAGUAGUUCCUUUCAUUCAUUUACUCAACAAAUACCUUCUGAGAACCUCUCGUGUGAGACCCACUGUGCUCAGUGAAGAGGACACAACAGUGAUCAAGAGCAAAGCCCAUCCCUGCCUUGCAAAGUUUCCUCUACCUGGGGAGUCAGACUCUAAUGAAGUAACAACUGCAGCCGUAGCAUCAUGACCUUCAAAGGGCUUCAGUGGAGAUGACCUUGGCAGGGAAGUCAGGGAAGGCUUCCCAGAGGAAGUGGUGAUGGAGCCAAGAUCACGACAAGUGGGAGAGGAAGGGAAGAGCAUGUGCAAAUGUCCUGGGGUGAAAGAUUGUGUGGCCAGGCAAGGGACGGAAGAAAGUUCCUGGGGUUGGAGCAGAGGGGCUGUGGUGGAUGCCAUGAUGCGCCACCCAGAUCCCCUUCAGGAAGGACAGAUUUCCAGUCACUGGGGUGCUGCUGGCAGACAGCCCUCCACUGCCAGUACUCUUAAAGGAUUGUCCGUACUAAAGACAGCGGCUUGCCCAAGGUCACACCACACCCACUGACUAUCCACAUGGAAGUAGAAAGGCCCAGUGUCCUCACUCAACAAUUCUGAACGGUCAUUCAGCUUCAAAUCUCCACACGCAUUGACAGAACAAUGGCCCCCCCAGAGAAGUCUGUGUCCUAAUGCCCAGAAUUUGUGAAUAUGUUAGUUUACAUGUCAAAAGAGAUUUUUCAACUGUGAUUAAGGAUCAGGAGAUGGGGAGAUUAUCCUGGAUUAUCCAGGUGGGCACAGUGUAAUCACAAGGGUCCUUAUAUAAGGGAAGCAGAAGCGUCAGAGUCAGAGAGGAGACGGGACAAUGGAAGCAGAGAUUAGAGUGAUGGAAGAAAGGAGCCACCAACCAAGGAAUGCAAGAAGCCUCUGGAAACUGGAAAAGGUAAGGAAAUCCGUUCUUCUGGAGCCGCCAGAAGGAACACAGCCCUGCUGACCCGUUUGAGACUCUGAACUCCAGAACUGUCAGACAAUAAAUUUGUGUUGUUUUAAGCCACUAAGUUCGUGGCUAUAUGUUAUAGCAGCCACAGGAAACUAACACAGCAUCAGAGCCCAACGUCCCCUCCACCUAACCCUGCUUCCUUCCCCUCAUUCCACAAGCGUGGGUCCUGGGGGCCCUCCCUAAUGACCUCUUGCAUGCUAACGAGUUCCACUUCCCAGGGAAGCAGUGGGUGAUGAGCAGGCAGACAAAGAUGCUGGGGUGGGAUUUCGGAGUAGAUGCGCCCAUCUCGCCUUCGUGGCCAGAGUGGUGGAUGGGACGCAGGCAGCCUCUGCCACAAGGUGACCGUGCAGUCAUUAAAACUCACCACUGGUGAACUGGGAUGGUUUACCAUGGAGGGAAACGCCACACUGAGGAUAGGGUGUUCAGGUCCUUGAGAAAUAUCAGGGGAAAGCGAAAUCAGUGGCAUUAGGCUAAACUUGACUAGUACUUUGAGGACAGAUCACAACAGGCGGAGAGGAGUUGAGAGCUAAGUGUGAAAGGCAGAGGGCCUGGUGACAGCACAUAAGGAGGGGCUGAGUCCUGUCGCCUGAGCGCAGAGAGAGCUGAGGCCCUCAGAGGAGCCAGGUUCCGAGGAAGGUUAAACAACCUGAGUGGACCUGCCAUGCCAAGGUCAUGCUCUGGUUGUGAAAGAGAGGCACCCUGACAUUUCAGGUGAGAUAUCUGACUCGAUGCACCCCCAAAUCUUAAAUCCCAAGGUUGCCUUGAACCCGCUGAGCCUGCAGAAAGUGGUCCAUUCUUCUCUAUGAAGGGCUGAUGCUCCCCCAUUCCUUGAAGAAAUGCAGAGAUCUCUGCUCUCCCACAGGUGCAGGCAGGAUCUGCGAGAGCACAGGCGGGCCUGGAUUCUGAAGGUGCUUGGUUCAAGCUGGUGUGAAGAGCACAUGAAAGGCGUAGCCAUGGCGGAGGCUGCGAAGAGGUCCAACAGCAUGAGCUCUCACUCGCCAAGGCCAUCAGCUACUAGUGAGUGUCCAGUCCUCCAGCCAGAGAGCCCAACGCUGUCCCAGACACAGUGCCAUUCACUGAGGGCACCAACCAGUCACCUAGUGGCAAGGUGACCACACUGGAUCCCUUCAUCCUAGAAGGGACAGUAAUCCACUUUGUCAGGAAUAAACAUGUAUUCAGGGUACAGGUUUGCCUUUCCUGCCCAUAGGGCCUGAGCCAGACCACCAUCCAAGGACUUACAGAGUAUCUGAUGCUCCAGCACAGGAUCCCAUAUAACACUGUGUCAGAUAAAGAAGAAACUCUAGAGCAAAGGAGGUGAGAGAAUGGGCGCAUGAUGGUAAGAGGCACUGGCCGUAUCGCUUUCUGUGGCAGCCCAAAUCUGACAAUCUGGUAAAGCAGUGGAAGGGCCUGUUACAAGCACAGCGAAAGUGCUGGCUCAGAUGUGAUAUUUUGCAAACAUGUGGUGCCAUUCUCCAGAGCAAAGUGUAUACUUUAAAUCAACAAUAGGUUGACGUGAGUCUACCUAUGUGUGGUAAGCAGAAUAAUGACCCCUUUCCCCAAAGGUGUCCAUGUUCUCAUUUCAAGAACCUGUGACUGUGUUCCCUCACAUGGCAAAAGAGACUUGGCACAUGUGAUUAAGUUAAGGAUUUGAGAUGGGGAGAUGAUCCUGGAUUAUCUUGGUGGGUCCAACAUCCUUGUAAGUGAAGGCGAGGGGUAGGAGAGCGUCGGAGUGGUGCGGUGGGAGAAAGACUCAAGCAGCUACUGCCGGCUGAGAAGGUGGAAGGGAGCCGUGAGACAAGGAACGCGGCCAGCCUCUAGGAGCUGGAAAGGGCAAGGAAAUGGAUUGUCCCCUAGAGUCUGGAAGGAAUGCAGUCCUGUGUACACCUUGAUUUUUAGCCCAGUGAGACCUGUUUCAGACUUCUGACCUCCUGGACUAUAAGAUAACAAAUUUACCCUGUUCUGACUCACCAAGUUUGUGGUGAUUUGUUACAGCAGCAAUGGGAAACAAAUAGACUCUGUCAUAAGUCUGGGGACUAAGACGUGCAAGUGAGAGUGUCCUGCUUCCAUCAAUCCCAGCCACUCACUUGGGGAAUUUGUGUUUCCCAUUCCUACAACCCUGGGCUCUAAGGGUUUAGAGAUCCUGCUUCCUUCUGCUGAGGAACGCAGCAAGAGUUUCGUGGACUAGAAGCUGUGGAUGCUGCUCCGGCCCUUCAGGGUCCUCAUGCCCAGGGACCAGCAAGCAAGAGUCACCACCUUGGCAGGGGCAAUAGACCGUGGUCACAUUGAUUUUUCUUUCAAUGCAUUGGGGGCAGGGAAAAAUAUAUCUGCUGCCUGGUUAAUCCACUUGGGUGCUUCUUGGUACUCUUUUGCCCAAUUUUGACAGUAAAUGGACAAUUUGACAGUAAAUGGACAAGUGUUGGCCAGGGUGUCAGGUCCCUCAGGAAUGAGGGUCUGGUUACUCUAUCACGUAAGCCACUGAGGCCAGGACAGCCAUUAGCUGAGGGUGGGAAUUCAGAAUAGAUGACCCAGGUGAGAGAAGAUGAGGAUUGGUGUAGCCUCAAGACCAACUGCAGCAGAGGGGGCUGCAGUUAAUCCACUAAACUGCCUCUUCCCUCCCCCAGAGAGGCCCACCAGAAUCCUGGAGGGGCUGCUCCCUGAGCAUAUGUGAAGAAGUGGAGCCAGAUCGUGCAAGGGAUGGACUGUGUUGGGCACUGUGGGGCACGGCCCAGAUGCCCCUUCAGUAUGAAGAACUUGGCGCCCCAGCUCUGGGAGUGCUGCCUGCAGAAAGCCUUCAGCCAUCAGCUGCCUGCACAGAAUGCCUCAGGAGAAGAGUGAUGCCUGGCCCAAGGUCAUGCCACACAUCCAAAGACACAUCCACUGACCAAUAUGGUGGCACAGAGGCCCAUCACACUGGCCCCAAAUGGGGGACAACUCUGUGCUCCCUGUGGGGUGGGCUGAGGUCCAUGUUGAGACUGCAUGAGAGCUCAACUUCCUUCUCUGCCCCCUCCUCCCUUGCCCUAAAUAAACCUCCUGCCAUCACCUCCACCUCACAGCCUGCUUCCCAGGGAGCCCAACCUGCAACGGAGAAUGAGGGGUGGACUGGAAGCAGGACUGGGGAAGAGGCAGGCCAGCUCACAUGCACCGCAGAGGAUGGUAUAAUAAUCUUAGAACACGAGAAGCUUCGGCAAGGUUCAAGCAAACAGUUACAAGAUCUUUUGAAAAGGUCCCUCUGGCUGCCAUGGGGAAAAUGGACUGCAAGGGUGAGAUUGACAGCAGCGAGACAGAAGGGAAGCUACUGCAGACGUCCAGAUGAGGUGAUGGCAGCUGGCAGGGUGGCGGUGCUGAGGGAGAAACGUGCAUGGGUCUGAGGAGUCCUUUGACCCGCCUUGGUCGUGUGCUGGAGAUGGGAAAUGGAGAAGAGGGUCAGGGAGGAGGAGGUGACUCCCAGGUUCCAGCUUGCACAACUGAGCGGCAGGUGAGAUGGGGACGCUGGGGAGGAGGCCAGGUUUGGAGGAGGCAAGAUCCUAAGUCUGAGUCAGAACAUGUUGAGUCUGAGGAAGCCCUGAGACCUUCCAAGAGAGGCAGCAAGUGGGCAGUGGGUUCUGCAGGUGGGUGGAGGUGUAAAUCUGUGAGUCAUUGACACUGCAGAGCUGCAUGAGAUUAUGUGGGAGGAAGUGUGAGGACAGAGGAGAAAGAGGCCUGGGAAGGGUCAGAUAGAGGGGGAGGAGCCAGCAAACAAAGCAGACCAGCCAUGAGCUGGAAAGAAACAGGGGUGAGUUCUGCUCUGUCAUGCUGAGUGCAGCAGCAGGUACAGGUGAGGUUACGCUGCAGAAACUAAUAUCCCUGAAAUCUCACAGGCCUGAGAAGACAGAAGUUAAUUUCUCCCUCCCUACACAGGCCCAGCGUGUGUCAGCAGGGACUCUGCUCAUCGUAGUCACCCGGGGGCCCGGCUGAUGGAGGCUCCAUCUUGAAACCAGCUCCCACGAUUGCCUGGCAGGGAAGGGGGCCUGGGCCCGGCACACGGGCUCCUUGGGUUUCUGUCUCACGUUUUGCAGGCAAAGCAAGUGACAUGGCCUCGCCUGACUUCAAAGGAGGCAGGGAAGGACAAUGCUGCCCUGGAGCCCACAGAGGAAGAGAGCUGGGAGCUGAGAAAAGAGGAGGAGCUGAGCCAAACACUGCUGAGGGCCAGUGACAUGAGGACUGGAAAAUGCCCAUUGAAUGAGGAGACGUGGGUCCUUGGUGACCUGACAAAGAGAUCCUGACUUCAGACCAGAAACAAAAAUUAAUUCUAAAAGGAUGAAGGACCAAAAUGUGAAAACAGAACUGUGAAACGUCGUCGGGAGACAAUACUUUGAAAUAUAUCAAGAUGCCUUUUCUUUUUGCACUUCUUGAGUGACCUUCCCAAGAAGCUUUGGAGCCAGAGGCUUGCAUGCCUAGAG